GACGAACGCUGGCGGCACGCCUAACACAUGCAAGUCGAACGGACUUGAAAGAGCUUGCUUUUUUGAGUUAGUGGCGGACGGGUGAGUAACACGUGAGCAACCUGCCUCUGAGAGGGGGAUAGCUGCUGGAAACGGAUGUUAAUACCCCAUAAAAUAGAAAUAUCGCAUGAUAUAGAUAUCAAAGAAAUUCGCUCAGAGAUUGGCUCGCGUCUGGUUAGAUAGUGGGUGAGGUAACGGCUCACCAAGUCGAGGAUCAGUGGCCGGACUGAGAGGGUGAACGGUCAGAUUGGGACUGGGCCCCGGCCCCGACUCGUAGGGGAGGCAGCGGUGGGGAAUAUAGCACAAUGGAGGGGACUCUGAUGCAGCGAUGGCGGGUGGAGGAAGAAGGUUUUGGGAUUGUCAACUAGCUGGAUCAGGGACGAUAAUGACGGUACCUGAAGAAGAAGCACCGGCUAACUACGUG
rnacentral:rRNA from 1 species